rnacentral:misc_RNA from 1 species
AAUUCUCAACUUAUCCAUUUUUGUGGUGGAUAGGCUUGGACUUGGGGGUUUGCGGGCUUCACAACAAAGAAGUCGGCUCUCCUUAAAUGCAUUAGYGGGACCUUUUUGCUGACUUUGUUCCUAGUGUGAUAAUUAUCUACACUGCGGGCAGUUAGUGAUCAUUAAUGGGUUUUGCUUCUUUAUAACUCGUCCUCAGGACACUUGACAAU